GCACUUAAGAAUUAAAGAUUCGAUCACACAAUUAAAUAAGGAAUUACAAUUGCUAUAGAGGCUAUGAAAGAGACGCGUAGCGGGGCAGGGAGAGUAUAGAUGCAUAGCAGUAUAUCUCGUUUGGGGAAUCCAGGAAGGCUUCCAUGAAGUGAUGAUGUAUAGGCUGCUCUCUGAAGGAUGAUAGACAUUAACAAGAUGAAGGGGUGGAGGUUUGGAGGAAAAGGCAGGGUACAAGGAGCCGGGUGCCAAGCAGGAAGGAGUAGGUCUUGCUGCAAUAAAACUGUGAGGGCUCUUUGGUGUUGGAAUAAUAUGGAGAAUGGGGAGCAGGGAAGCUCCUGGUCCCUGUGGGGGAGGAAAUCAGGGACUGCGUCUUAUCGAACCCUGAGGCCAUGUUAUAGGCUUUGUCUUUCUCAUAAGAGAAUGUAGAAGCCACUAAAGAGUAACUUUAAUGCAAUACAUCUGUGACUAGUUCGAUGGUGAGCAAGUUGCAGCUUGCAGGUCAAGUCCAGCCCACCACCGGCUUUUAUUAGAACACAGCCAUGCUCUUUUGCAGCUUACUUAGGGCAGAUUUUACACUGUAACAGCUGAGUAGAGUAGCCGCAAUGGAGACUGUAUGUGUUAUAAGCCUGAAAUACUUGCAAUUUUGCCCUUUACAGAAAUGCGCCACUGGAAUUGAUCAGCUUACAAACAAUGCAGAGACCUAUUUGUGCUUUCCAUUUGUACACUCAUUUUCUUUCCCCAUUGUUAGACUGCGAGCUCCUUUUGGAACAAGGACUAUAGCCUAAUACAUUACUGUUCAGUGAACACCUGAUUGAGUCAAUCCUGCUCAUUUACCUCCUAGAGGACCUACUCCAGCUGUGAAUGUAUCUGAUUUGGAAAUUAAGAUCAAGAGAGUUUGAGGAACUGUCUCCAAAACAUCCAGAAAGUUAAUAUCCAUGUUGGGUCUUCCAUUCAGGCCUCUUGAUUCCCAUUCCUGUCCUCUUUGUUCUUACUUUAAUGCAGCUGUCCAAAUUAGUCUAAAAAUAAGCAAUAAUUUGGGUAUCACUAGAACCAGGAAACUGGAGACAUAUACCUACUUAUAGAGUCAUACUUUCAGAGUCAUGAUGACUCAUCUAGGAGAAAAACAUACCCAGAUCUGUGUUUAAAUCUGUAUUAUCAUCAUGCCUAUAAAGCAGACGUUUGUGCAUUAUCUUAGCAAGCCGAGCUCAAUGAAACAGCCUCGGAAGUUUGGAGAUUCUGUGAGGAGUCCUACAAGGAGGUCAAAGAGGCAGAAGGCUCCGUAUUGCUGUUCCAUAUGCCUGGUUGCCCUUCCUAUUAAGGGGCUGGAAAUAUAAUUAGGAGACAAGCACCACAGAUGCUGCCGUUUACAAUAACCAGAAGAAACCGCUGAAACGGGUAAGACAUGAAAGGAUAAUUUUGCUUAUACAAAAUAGCAGACUGCAAACGAAAACCAAGAAAAACAAACAGGCAGAUGGAAAGAGUGGAGACGGCAUUGGCACAGCUGUGAGCAGGAUUUAGACACCCAGAUGCAAUAUAAUCCGGGGGGAGGGGUGAGAGAGGAGGAGAGUCUGAAAAAAAAAAAAGGUCCAGAAACAGAAAAGACACUGGAGAAGAGUGAGUGGCUGGGCUUUCCACCUGCAGGUUAAGCUUCUUCACACCCACCCCCUCCUACCCUGGCUCCCGAAAGUCAUUUCCUGGGGGCUGGGAGGAGUGAACCCAAGGCCAGAGCAGAUAAACAGGCAUCCUUCCCAACAGAGAAGGCGGCAGUAAAAUCAAACGCUAUGAUUGUGGAAGAACGACACAGCCAUUACCCAGAAGAGGGUGAAUAGUGGUGUUUUGUUUUAUUAUUAGCAGCAUUAUUUAAAUAACAACACACGUGCAGGGCUAGAUGGAGCCAGGGGCGUAGGGAAGAGCAAGAGAGGGUUACCCUGCGCAUGUGCAUGGGGUUUCUACUCUGCACUAACCACGGAUCCGUUCUGUUAAUUCCCUUUGACCAACAAAGGCAAAAAACUAAGCGAUGCAUUGUUUGUCUUAUUUUUAGGGUUUAGGAAACUGAAGAUCUAAGGGGAGGAGUCACGAUUUAUUUAAACUUUGGUCUUUUGUUGUUGUUGUGGCAAACUUUUUUUUUUUUUCCCCACCCCACGGCAUAUGGAAGUUCCUGGGCCAGGGACUGAAUCCAAACCCAGCUGUGAUGACCUACGCCAAAGCUGCAGCAACUGCCAGAUCCUUUAACCCACUGUGCUGUGCUGGGGAUCGAACCUGCACCUCUGCGUCCACGGAGCUGCUGCACUCAGGUUCUUCUUUUCUUUUUUUUUUUUUUUAAUGACUUUUAUUUUUUCUAUUAUAGUUGGUUUACAGUGUUCUUUCAAUUUUCUACUGUACAGUAUUCUUUUCUUUUUUUUAAGGGCCGCACUUGCGGCAUAUGGAAGUUGCCAGGCUAGGGGUCGAAUCAGAGCUACAGCUUCUGGCCUACACCACACCACAGCAACUCGGGAUCCAAGCUGCAUCUGCGACCUACCCCACAGCUCACCGCAACGCCAGAUCCCCGACUCGCUGAGCAAGGCCAGGGAUCGAACCUGCAUCCUCAUGGAUGCUAGUCCGAUUUGUUUCCACUGCGCCACAACCGGAACUCUUGCACUCAGAUUCUUAACACACUGUGCCGCAGUGGGAGCUCCUGAACUUGGGUCUUUAUGAUGUGCCAGCGGGUCUUCUCCAACCGCUGAAGUUCAAACAAGUCAGGGCCAUCAGAAGAAACACUUCUGUUUUAUAAAACCAAACUGGACCCCGAAAGGGAGCAGUGACGGGCUCCUUAUCAAAUGGUGACUCAGAAGAGAACGUUCUGGUGGCCAGCAGAGACUGGGAAUGAGCAUCCUACUCCGCCCACCCUGGAGCACUGUCUUCACUUCUCCCCCAGUGUGUACUCAGCCUUUAUGCUUUUUCCUCCCCCUCUAAUGUGUGAGCACUUGGAGAACAAUAUCGAACAUUAUUCAUCCUCAUCUCCCCAGGCCCGGGAUAAGGCUGAGCCCUCCUUAGGCACUGCCCACCUCCGGGAGGCCCCGCCCAUGUGGCCUGAGAUGGGUGGUCAGUGAGUGAUGGCAAAGGAGGGUCCUGCUCCAACCAGCCUCCACGUGGCUCCCAGUCCCAGUUCACACCUCCCACGUCUACAUUCUCAGGGCGCCCUCUUCCCCGGGACCUCAACACACCGCCUUCUCAUCACCGUCCUGGGUACAAGGCUUGUAUUUAUCCCCGGAGCUAUUCAUGCCCAGGAAUGGUUUUCCUCUUAGCUUCUUUGAAGUGACCUGAUCAAGUGAAGUGAACACAUACUUGGAACAGAAUAAUGUGCUUCCUUUUCUAAAUAAGAUCUCCUUAUUUACAAAAUGUAGCUCAUAAAACAUCUUUCACAGAUAAUCAAUACUAAGGUUUUUUGUUUUUUUUUUUUUCCCGUCAUCGAUUGCUUGAUUCUCUGUCCAGGGCUCCUGGUCAACAUGAUUGGGCCGGGCUCCUUCAGCGGGGGCGUGACUGCCUUCUGGUGGCAAUGGGACCUCUCAGCCUGUUGCCUCAGGAAAUAAGGCAGAGGUCCCAUAUUUUGGAGGAUAUAUCUCUUCGUGGGAAGAGAAAAAUCGUUGCUCUGCAUUCCAGCUCCUGGGCCAUUUGCACCAGCUAUUUUGGGGAAGGGGAAAGCCAGGCUCCCAACCAUUUCCCCAGAGAAAAGACACCAAUGUCAAUGUCAGCCAUUAGGAAACAUCAUUAAAGCAGAUGAGAAACGGGCUGUGGACGUUUUUAUGAGCCCAGAAUACUCUGCUUGGAGAUUUUAUGGCGACCACAGGAAGCCGGGGAGACAAUGACAUCCACACCCUUUUCUAGAGUCUGGUGAAGAGCCUUUUUUUUUUCUUGUGCUCAACAGAGUGUGUUUUUUGAAAGGGAAAGUUCCUGUUGGGGGCCACAUCCAGCUAAGCCUUAUUCAGAGAAUUUGUUGAUCUGUUAGAGAUGGGAUUCUCCAGGCCAAGUAGCUGUGGGCUCAGUGCCCAAAUCCUUCCAGAACUGCAAAGAAGAUUCUUCUUUUUGAUUCCAGGAUCCUCUGGGAACUAGUCUUUGGAGAUUGCUGUUCAGUUGAAAUCUCUAUGUUUGCAACACCCAUCUGUCAUCUCUAUAUCUUUGUUUUCUUCCUUUUUUCACAUGGCAAAAUGAAGUUCAGAAAGGUUGGGAAACUUGCAUAGACACAUCAAUGGUAAGCAGUGGAGUCAGAAUCUUUGACUCCGCCUUUUCUUCUGUUCCAUCAUGUUGCCUCUCUACCAGGCCCAGAGAUGCAGAUUUAAGGCAGGGAUAGGAAAAGGGCUGCACAAAUAAAACUGUCCCCAAGUGAGGUCUCCAGGGUCUAUGUUUAGGUCUACUAGCUCAGCACAAAUAUUUUGCUCUGAAAAUCAGGAGUUGUGUUUUUAAGGCAUUGAUCUACACAGUGAAAUAAGAGGGAAGUUCUAAACAGUUUGCUUUCUGCCAUCAUAGUAUCGCAAUGGUGUCUUUUCCCUGGAGUUCUAGGAGAGGGAAGAGACAAAUUAUCCAGAAUAUUCCUGAAAUGCAGAGCUUUCCUUUUUAUAUUGACAUCUUGUGGCUGUCCUGUGUUACUGCAGUCUGCAUUGCCUCAUGAGCCGAACAUUUAAUUUUAGUAACAUUUAUUUUACUCUUCCAUGCAUGAAUUGAACUAGGCAUUUCCAAGCACCUGGUAGGUACCAGGCACUGUGCUAGGCACUUGAGAAUAUUAGGAUAGACUUACAGAAGAACCAUGGGAAAGACCAAAAGACAAUACUACAGCAGCUCACUACUGAUGAAUACAAGAACUAUAACUCAGGGAGCACCCGCCCUGCAGGGUAUCAGGCACUCAGUAAUAACUAUCUGGUCUGUAAUCAUCAUCUCACCAUCUCUUCACAAGGACCCGACCUGGUGACUACACUCAUUCACAUUUCAGAUUUGAGGAAACUAAAGUGAGAUGAGAUUAUUCAAAUUAUCCAAGUUUAAAAAAAGCUUGUAAGUGGUGAACUUAGGUUUUUGAAAGCUGAUUAUUCCUAUCUCAAAGUCAGAAUUACACUCUUCUGUGUGCAGAUCACAAGUACUGAUUAAUUCCAAUGAUGAGGUGACAUUGGAGAAGGACUUAGAGAAUGGCCAUGUUUCUUCUGUGAACCCAUGAAAAUUUAACCCAUGAUAAUAUUAGCUUAUCGAACUUUCCAGAUGUCAACCUGUUAAAUUCUAUUCAGCUUAGCGUAAUUGCCCCACCAAAGGAAAAACAAAACAAAACAAAACAAAAAAAACACCUCUGGUAAUAUCGUCAUGCAUAUAAUUUAGCUAGAUUUCCUGCACAAACUGAUAGAUACCUGCAUUUACAAGCCAUUGGAAGUACUAUAUUGUAGCCUGCUUAUUUUAUCUAAUACAUUAGAUUUCUAUUGCUAUCUACCUAAUUACCACAAACUUUGUGGCUCAACCUUUUAUCUCAUUGUUAUCUAGAUCAGCAGUCCAGGCAGGCUUGAUGGGCUCUGUGCUCAGGGUCUCAAGGUGACUGUGGGGCUGAGUUUGGGGCUGGACUCUCUGCCUGAGACUCUGCUUCCAAGCUGACUCAGGUUGUCGGCAGAAGUCAAUUUUUUGUAGUUGUAGGACUGAGACCCCCUUUUCCUUGCUGGGUGCUGGCCAGAGACCACUGUUCAUACCCAGAGGCUACUCUCAGGUCCUCGUCAGUGGCCCCUCCAUCUCAGCCAUGGAGACCUCCCCCGGCUCUCAACUCCCUGCCUUCCCCUUCUGCAUCAAUUGGCAGAAAUCGCUUUGUUUUAAAGGGUCCUUAAAUUAGGUUCAUUCAGUUAGGCCCCUGGAUAAUCUCUCCUAUGUUAAGCUCAACUGAUUAGUAACCUCCAUUACAUCACAAAAUCCCUUUUGCUGUAUAAUCUUACAUACCAUGGGUGUGCCAACUGGGGACCAACGUCAUGGGUCAUUUUAUAAUCCUUCCUACUGCAUUUAACAAUUAUUCUUUCUACAUAUAUUUUUUGGAGGUCUCCUCACAGCUCCAAAGCUAUGACAGUGAAUUAAACAGACGAGCCCCUGAUUCAUGCAGCUGAUAGACUGAUGUUCUGGAAAGAGAGAUAAUUUGCAUUUCCUAAAAUACCUUGUGCUUUUUCAUUAUUUAUGGCUGCCUCAUCUCAUUAUAUAAAUGUACCACAAAUUAAAUAAAUAAUUCCAAUUACUGGACAAUUUAUUUUUUCUUUUGUUUUUUGCUACGCCUGUGGCAUGUGGAAGUUCCCCAGGCCAGGGAUGGAACCCAGGCCACAGUGGUGACAAUGCCAAAUCCUUAACCCACUGGGCCACACAGAAACGCCUCUGUUUUUAAUUUAUGGUAUAUGUGCUACCAAAGCGAGCACCUCUGUGUUUAAUUUAUAAACAACCCUGAAAUGGACAUUAUUUUACCAGACAGAUGCCUGCAGAUGGAAGAUAUGAGCCAAAGUGUUUGACUUCUUUAUUUAUUUAUUUAAGGGCCACACCUGUGGCAUACGCAAGUUCCCAGGCUACGAGCUGAAUCUGAUCUGCAGCUGCCAGCCUAAAAACCACAACCACAGCAACACUGCAUCCAAACCAUAUCUGUGACCUACACUGAAGCUUGUGGCGUUGCUGGAUCCUUAACCCACUGAGUGAGGCCAGGGAUUGAACCUGCAUCCUCAUGGGCACUAUAUUGGGCUUUCAACCCUCUGAGCCACAAGGAGAAUUCCUGAAGUGUAUGAUUUUGAUACCUGUUACUAAAUUGCUUCCUGGAACGCCUGAACCAAUAAACAUUCCUGCCC
rnacentral:lncRNA from 1 species